rnacentral:rRNA from 1 species
GACAGCCAGGAUGUUGGCUUAGAAGCAGCCAUCAUUUAAAGAAAGCGUAAUAGCUCACUGGUCGAGUCGGCCUGCGCGGAAGAUGUAACGGGGCUAAACCAUGCACCGAAGCUGCGGCAGCGACGCUUAUGCGUUGUUGGGUAGGGGAGCGUUCUGUAAGCCUGCGAAGGCGUGCUGUGAGGCAUGCUGGAGGUAUCAGAAGUGCGAAUGCUGACAUAAGUAACGAUAAAGCGGGUGAAAAGCCCGCUCGCCGGAAGACCAAGGGUUCCUGUCCAACGUUAAUCGGGGCAGGG